rnacentral:ncRNA from 21 species
UUUUUUCUUCUGCGACUUUCGUUUUUGGGCUUUUCGUCCAGACUUAAGUCACUCAACUCCACC